AAGUCGUAACAAGGUAACCGUAGGUGAACCUGCGGUUGGAUCAUUAACAAAUUCAACCAAAAGGAAUCUGGUGCAGUGGGUAAAACUACUCGCCAGGCUCUUUUUACACACAAUGUGAACCGUUUAUUGUCUCUGGUGGCGUUAAAAGCUCGGGCGCUUGCCCGAGUGGGAUCAAGCUGGUGCGUGAGAAAUCGCGUACCGGCCGACGCCUACCCACCGCACAAACUAAACUCUGUAUUUAUACAAUCGGCCUUUAUAUCUUUAAAAAAAGUUAAUUAAACAACAACUUUUGGCAACGGAUCUCUAGGCUCUU
rnacentral:misc_RNA from 1 species